ACAGAACUCUUAGUUAAACAUUGUUGUCUGUUUAUUGGUACUUUUCCCAAGCUUAUUCCAGGCUAGUUAGGUUAAUAGGCAGGUUUUACACAGCCUGUCCAUGUGUAUGGUAGGAUGGAAUACAUGGCAAAUUCAGAAAGUACAAAUUCUAUCCACGCCCUCAUUCCUUGAAGGUCCAUUGCAACGCCUGUAAUAAGCAAGUUCCCCCUAGAUACAAAAUGUAACAAACUCCUAACGUCAUGCUAUUUCUUUCAAGUAUCAACAUUGCCAAAAAUUAUCCUGCUUCUUGUCUACAACCCUGUUUCACCAAUUCUGGGACUACCGAGCUACCUUUGUAGCAGGAGUUCACCCCCAUGUAGCAAUGGUGUUGCUCCAUCGUCUGUGGGAACUUUCACCAUAGUGGAAGAGCCCACAGGCACAUGGGGGUGUUUACUAAGCUGCAUACCUACAGAGGAAUAUCCCAAACAGUGGACUACGUCAACUACAUGUACUAUCAUAAUAAACAAAGGAAUAACAAUGGAACAAUCGACUAUUUACAAUAAGCAGAAAGUAUUGACCAUACAAAACAGGUCUUUAGUUUGAAUCUUAACUGUAAGGCUCGACUCAAUGCGUUCAAGACAUGUUCUUAUUUUAACUACAAUAAUCCAAGUAUAUAACAUUACUAUCAUCAUCGAGGCUUGCUCUACCAAUAGGUAAGAUAGUACCUUGGCAGUUGUUCUGUUUCUCACUUUGAUUUACUUCGAUGAUAGCAGCAGUUUUAGUAUUCUUCGGCACACUAUCAACAGUCUGCUAUGUGUUUGACUUGAAUUGUUUUAGCCCAGUAUUUCCACAAAAAGAAUCAUGCAGAUCACUUGUCUUGCUGGGGUAUAUGGACCAUAUGUGUAAAGGAAGGAAGCUUAUGUUUCUAAAACUCUAGUAUGCCAUCUUUCUGCAGACAAGAACAUCUGGAAUGGUAAACAAGAGCAUCCUACAUACACAAGGGGCAAAAAACAACAACAAUUUUUAAACAAUAACCUAGAUAACAAUGCUGCCUAACUUUGGCAAAAUACAUCAUCAAACUGCUUACAAUAGCGAGACACAACUUUUGUACAACUGUACAGGAUUAGAAGCCAGGGUUUAUUCAACCAAUACAUGUCUGCAAACUGUCUUCAGAUUCAAGGAUGUACCAAAUAUUGUUCUGAAGCAAAACCUUACAAUAGAAACCAUUACUUUCUGCUGCAUAAGGCAGAGACAUUUCCAUACUUAAAUAUAUAUUGAAGAUUGGCAUGAUAGGCCAUGAAUCUUGUAUGAGAAUUAGACUAGAAUAGGUAAUUAAUGGUAUUAACACUGUUCACUGGAUAAGUGGAAUAAUUCUGGUAAUUUGGGGUCUCUGGCAAUGCCAUCUUUACAACUAUAUACUGUUGUGAAAGAAAACAUAACUCCGUAGAAAGCAUGUUAGUUUAAAUGAUGCAGUGACAUUGUUAUGUACAUGCAGUAACCCGGGAAAUGUAAUAUGCCAGCAAAGUAGACUUCCACUGAAGUUCACAUAAAGACUUUCAAAAAUUGAAAUUUGCCUGUUGAUAAAGGCUUAGUAACUGACACUGAUGUGAUAACUAAACCCCUACAACUGGGCAAAGGCUUUCCACAAACUGUUGGGAUUACAUCUUCAGAUAACAAGAAGACGUUAAAGGUUCACAACAUUCUUUGUACACAACCGCUACACCAGGUGAUAUAUGCAAAGUAUGUGUACAAAGACAGUUGUUAACCAGUGAUCAACCAACAUGGUAAAACUAUUCACUGAAGAAGUACAAUGAUCGUAUUAAAGAAUUGUUCUCGGUGAAAAGUCCAAAGCCAGUUCUGGAGAUUUCUUCCUGCACAGAUGAAGUGGCCAGUGUUGUAGUGUGACUCUCUGUUGUUCCCUCUACUGGUGGCUAGGUUGGGUGGGUAAGUGAGCUCUGAUG